GCACACACUUUGUAAACUGAAAGUAGAAGUUCAGCUUUUUCUUUUGAGUAGUGAAUAGCACGUAGUGAAAUUUUUUGAUUUCAUUUUGCGCGGUGACCAAUUUUUAGGCGGGCUCUAAAUUUUUUAGGUUUUUUUUUUUUUUUUUUUUCAUUAUUUUUUAUUCGAUAAAAUUCUAGUACUGUUGCUUAAGUUUCUCUCUUAUGAUUUUUCCAUGUGGCUACUUAAUUUUAAAAAUACACUUUUAUUCAUGAGAAAAAAGCCACGUAAUAAAAUCUUAAGUGAAGAAUAUGAGGAAUAACAUCUAAGAAUUGUAGCUAAGUUUUACCCUUCUUUGUUUGUGUGAACAAACCACUGUUACUCUCUCUUUCUCCUCCCAUAGACAGACCCACGCCUCUCAGCCUCUCCCAAAAAGACUGGUUAUAAUGCUAGUGGUUCAGAUUCAGAUGAAUUGAAGGGUGAUUCUUAGCAAACCCUUUAGGCCUGUAAGUCCGAAACAAUCAAAUAUAUGGGAUUGGUGGCAAAAAGAUAGCUUUUGUGGGACUACUUGAACUCAAAUAAUUUUUUGUAAAGUUUGGAAGCUAAGACAUCAUUUGUAUAUAAAUGGUUGUAAUUACUUUGUGAACAUCUUUAUUGCAUUUUUAGAUUGUAUGGAUGUUUUUUUUUAUGGAUUUGGUUAGAAAUGAAUGGAUGUUUGUUUUUAUGGAUUUGGUUAGAAAUGAA